rnacentral:pre_miRNA from 1 species
GAAGUACUCCCUCUGUCCGGAAAUACUUGUCAUCAAAUUAAUAAAAGAGAAUGUAUCUAGAUGUAUUUUAGUUCUAGAUACAUCCCUUUUUAUUCAUUUUGAUGACAAGUAUUUUUGGAUGGAGGGAGUAUGAU